AUUGAACGCUGGCGGCAUGCCUUACACAUGCAAGUCGAACGGCAGCACGGGUUCUUGCACCUGGUGGCGAGUGGCGAACGGGUGAGUAAUACAUCGGAACAUGUCCUUUAGUGGGGGAUAGCCCGGCGGAAGCCGGAUUAAUACCGCAUACGAUCACCGGAUGAAAGCGGGGGACCUUCGGGCCUCGCGCUUUAGGGUUGGCCGAUGGCUGGGUAGCUAGUUGGUGGGGUAAAGGCCUACCAAGGCGACGAUCAGUAGCUGGUCUGAGAGGACGACCAGCCACACUGGGACUGAGACACGGCCCAGACUCCUACGGGAGGCAGCAGUGGGGAAUUUUGGACAAGGGGCGAAAGCCUGAUCCAGCAAUGCCGCGUGUGGGAAGAAGGCCUUCGGGUUGUAAAGCACUUUUGUCCGGAAAGAAAUCCUUGGCCCUAAUACGGUCGGGGGAUGACGGUACCGGAAGAAUAAGCACCGGCUAACUACGUG
rnacentral:rRNA from 1 species